rnacentral:rRNA from 1 species
CGGGGAUUCGCAAGAACCUCGCGUUUUCGGAGCGGCCGAUAUCGGAUUAGCUAGUAGGUGAGGUAAAGGCUCACCUAGGCGACGAUCCGUAGCUGGUCUGAGAGGACGACCAGCCACACUGGAACUGAGACACGGUCCAGACUCCUACGGGAGGCAGCAGUGGGGAAUUUUGGACAAUGGGCGCAAGCCUGAUCCAGCCAUGCCGCGUGAGUGAAGAAGGCCUUCGGGUUGUAAAGCUCUUUCAGCCGGAAAGAAAACGCACGGGUUAAUAACCUGUGUGGAUGACGGUACCGGAAGAAGAAGCACCGGCUAACUACGUG